rnacentral:rRNA from 1 species
GACGAACGCUGGCGGCGUGCUUAACACAUGCAAGUCGAACGGAAAGGCCCUGCUUUUGUGGGGUGCUCGAGUGGCGAACGGGUGAGUAACACGUGAGUAACCUGCCCUUGACUUUGGGAUAACUUCAGGAAACUGGGGCUAAUACCGGAUAGGAGCUCCUGCUGCAUGGUGGGGGUUGGAAAGUUUCGGCGGUUGGGGAUGGACUCGCGGCUUAUCAGCUUGUUGGUGGGGUAGUGGCUUACCAAGGCUUUGACGGGUAGCCGGCCUGAGAGGGUGACCGGCAACAUUGGGACUGAGAUACGGCCCAGACUCCUCCGGGGGGCAGAGGGGGGGAAUUUUGCAAAAGGGGCGGAGGCCUGAUGCAGCAACCCCGGGUGGGGGAGGACGGCCUUCGGGUGGAAAACCGCUUUCCCCUGUGACGAAGGGUGGGGGAGGGUAAUGGGUAAAGAAGCACCGGCUAACUACGU